rnacentral:rRNA from 1 species
UAAAAUUAAAAAUUUUGGCGGUAUUUUAGUCUGUUCAGAGGAACCUGUUCUGUAAUUGAUAAUCCACGAUUAAUUAUACUUUUUCUAUAAGUUUAUAUACCGCCGUAGUUUGAAUAUUUUGAAGGAAUAAAAUAUUCAGUAAGUUUAAUUAAAACUGAAAUCAGGUCAAGGUGUAGCUAAUGAGGAAGGAGAGAUGGGUUACGGUAAAGUUAUUUGUUGGAUUAGUUUAUGAAAUUAAUCUAUGAAAUUGGAUUUGAAAGUAAUUAUAUAAAUAUAUCUAUAGUGAUUUAAGCUCUAAAAUAUGUACAUAUUGCCCGUCGCUUUUGUUUUAAGAUGAAAUAAGUCGUAACAUAGUAGAUUUACUGGAAAGUGAGUCUAGAAAG